AGCGUGAUGAUUGGGUGUUCACGCCGUUGUGUGACAUGUGCCACCCUUAAACCUUGUUACGACGCUGGCACAUUACCCGUCUGACGUGAACUUUGGAGGAUCCUUUUACUCUUCCAGUGAUGCAAAAAGCGUGCUGUGGAUUGAUGCCCUUGAGAAUUCGGAAGAUUCAGAAUUACUGAACAAGGACCAGCUUGAGGAUGAGAAGAAAACUGAAGCCAAGGAGAUCACGUGAGUGUGUCUUACAAAGAGCAGGAUCUACACGGGAAUCCAUAGCCACGCUCCUUGCAAUGACUCACUAUCAAAUCUUCCUCAUUUUCACUCUCACUAAAAAUUACCAAUGCAACGAACUCA